ACUCUUUCCUUGUUGCGCUACUGUUCAGCUUCGCCUCUAGCAGUGCAAUAAUGAAAGGGCAU
rnacentral:pre_miRNA from 1 species